rnacentral:rRNA from 1 species
UACGGAGCUGGCAAGCGUUGCUCGGAAUCACUGGGCGUAAAGGGCUCGUAGGCGGGGAGGUAAGUCGGGGGUGAAAUCCCUCGGCCCAACUGAGGAACUGCGCCCGAGACUGCUUCUCUUGAGUCCCGGAGAGGAAGAUGGAAUUCCCGGUGUAGCGGUGAAAUGUGUAGAGAUCAUGAGGAAGACCAGUGGCGAAGGCGGGUCUCUGGACAGUUCCUGACACUGAGGCACGAAGGCCAGGGGAGCAAACGGG